rnacentral:lncRNA from 1 species
CCCGGAUUUCAACAGCUGCCUGCUCUCCCAGGAGAGCGUGUGUGACCUGUAAGUCCACUGCCAGGACCUGGAGGCAAGCUGAGCUUGUCAAGGUUCCCUGAGCCUCUCCCUUUGGAGAUUUUUUUUAACUCAAGCGAGACACGUUGAGAUGCCAAACCAAGGAGAAAACAGUGUUGUUUCAAGAAGACAUGUAGGUUGCCAAGCCAAGUGGGGUGCAGAGAGAAAGUAUGGAAUAUAAAAGGUCAUCCAGUAGAGCUAACCCACAUCUUAUGGCUCAGGUCCUGCCGUUGGUUCAUCAUCUCUCAGCUACCCAAAAAGGUCACAGAUCACAGAAGGUAGAGACAAUAAGUCUUUUUGGUCCUAAGGACUACAGCAAUUCCAUAAGUCUACAUGCAUCCUGGGAAAUACAACUCAUUUUCAAGUAAAACACAAUUGUGUUUUGUAAAAAAUAACAGGAUCACAUUUUAAAACUGCAGACCCCCAGGAGGUGAAUGUGGCUCAAGCAGUUGGACACCCACCUACCACAUGGGAGGUCCCUGGUUCGGUUCCCUGUGCCUCCUAAAGAAGAUGAGCAAGAUAGUGAGCUGACGCAACAAGAUGUUUCAACAAGAUGAAGGAACAAAGAGACACAAUGAGGAAACACAAUGAGAGACACAAUAAGCAGGGAGUUGAUGUGGCUCAAGCAAUCGGAUGCCUCCCUCCCACAUGAGAGGUCCUAGAUUCAGUUCCCGGUGCCUCCUAAAAAGAAGACAAGCAGACAGCAAGCACAAACCAUGGGGGGGGGGGGCGAAGUAAAUAAAAUAAAUAAAUAAAUAAAUAAAUAAAACUGCAGACCCCAACUUCUUCUUUCCCAGUAAAUUAAAUUCUGACAGCCUCGCUCACCUUGUUAUAGGAAGAGCUGUCCCACAAGCCACCAAGCCCCAGGAGUGAUGCAAUCCUAACUCCAACUCCGCCCCUGGAAUCUAACCAUAGGUCACGGGUCUGUGUGCUCAGCAAAUGUUUGCAGUCCUCUGCCGGGAAUUUCAUUCCAGAGCACAUUGGAGGGAAGAUCAGUAGCCUGGGAUCCGUGUAGGCUACCCGGAGGUCAAGAGGGUAACUGGAGAGAACUUGCCUAGGGGCCAUCACUAUGAUGUUUUUCCUGGACC